rnacentral:lncRNA from 1 species
UAAGUACUAAUCUUUGCCUGCGCAGAUUGUUGAAGCUUAUCCUUUUUACUAUUACUGUCACAUUUUUUUUGCUUGUUGAUCUGCAACACGCCAACACCUAUCAUUAAUUAGUACUUUAUUUCACCUUUUUACCUUCCUACCACAUCAUACUAAUCUUUGUUUGGCAGUUUGUUGAAGUUUAUCCUUUUGACUAUUACUAUCUACAGAUAAUAAAAGAAUAUCUGGCAAAAGCUUCACCUCGUAAACCUUUAGAACAAAGAUCGUCGAGCCACUGACAAUUUUCGGGUUCAAAACAAGGAAAAUUCCGCGAAAGCCUAUUGAGUAAGAUUUCUUAACUUAUUGAUCUUUGGAACAUCAGUUAUUUGCUUUAUUUCAACUUUUUACCUUUGUAACGCGUUAUAUAUCCAACUAGACCAAGAACUCCUUUCCUAAAAAUAAUUUAUUUUUCUUAUUAUGGUCUUGUUCUCUUAAAUACAUGGUUGUACAUUUACAAAAAGUAGCAUGCAUGCCUAUAUAUGUAAUUCCAAUAUUAAAUACAAAUAAAUCAUAUUUUCAGUCUUUCUCAAUUUUUAUAUGAGGUCACACUAAGAUAUUUAAGUUAAAGUAGACUCCCUACUUAUACCUAGCAAAGUUGGCACUAAACUAAUAAAAACGGCAUAAAGCACUAGCCGCCAUGAGGAGAUCUACGACUUAUAGUGCAAAGGUCCCGCAGCUUGUGUGGAAUCACUAGCAUCAUCGUUCCCUAUUUUUUUCUUGGCCUACAAUUUAUGUGUAGUCUAACUUAUGCUCCUAUGCCAUCAUAUUUGUCCCAGAAGUGAAUCACCCAUAUGCACCAGCAUUUACCUAAUAGUUUUAUUAAGUACUGGCAAUGUUAAAAAACUUUAAAUGCCAACUGUAAUUUGAUAGUUUAGAUGUUUCAAUGCAUUACUGCAUAAUUAAUUAUCUCACCCUCUCAUAAGAAUAAAAAAACACUACAAUUUCGAGAUAACUAAUCCCGCUAUUAGUUAUACCCGUUAUACCACGAUUUUAUCCCAACGAAACGAGGGAUAAACUCAUCUCAAAUUUAAUCCUAGGAUUAAUUAUCCCUUAUCUCUCAUACCAAACGAGCCCUUAGAGUAUAUUGGUCCUUGGCUAAGAGUGUAAGGGGUCGUUUGGUAUGAGGUAUAAGAAGGUAUAUAUGUGAUAUAAAAAUUUAAUAUCACCUUAAUACUCUGUUUGGUUAGCAAACUAGGUAUAAGUUAUCCCGGUGUUAAUUUUAACACCGGGAUAACUUAUACCUUAUAGAGGGUGGGGUAAUUAGCAUCGGUGUAACUUAUACAUUCUUCUUAGAAAUUAUGCAAUUGUCAUUCUUAAUACAACAUACCAAACAUUGAAAAAACACAAUCCCACCAUAACUUAUCCCGACAUAACUUAUACCGGCAUAAGCGGUACACUUUCCAUAGCUAACUUCUUUUGUCAGUCCAAACAAUGCAUAAGCUUCAUUAACCAAAACCAACAACUAAGCUUCAUUUUCUUUUCUAUAAAAAUCUUCAAUUUUGUACAAUUAUUAAUGAUACAUCGCUAAAAGCUAAAAUUUAGGUUCAGCAUCAACAGAAGGCAGUACUAAAGUAGCUCUUAACAACAUCAUUACACAGUAUUUGCAGCAGUGUGCUAUUGUUUGGACCAACACAUCUUGGGGUCUUG